rnacentral:rRNA from 1 species
CAGUAGCCGCGGGAAUAUGUAGGUGGCAAGCGUUGUCCGGAAUUAUUGGGCGUAAAGGGCUCGCAGGUGGUUUCUUAAGUCUGAUGUGAAAGCCCCCGGCUCAACCGGGGGGGGUCAUUGGAAACUGGGAAACUUGAGUGCAGAAGAGGAGAGUGGAAUUCCACGUGUAGCGGUGAAAUGCGCAGAGAUGUGGAGGAACACCAGUGGCGAAGGCGACUCUCUGGUCUGUAACUGACGCUGAGGAGCGAAAGCGUGGGGAGCGAACAGGAUUAGAUACCCCGGUAGUCCCUGUCUCUUAUAC